AACUCCAGUUCGCUUUCAAACGAAAAAAUCUUUCGCCUUUUACUAAAGAAUUCCGUGAAGGGGAGUAUUCAAAGGAGUCUAGAAACUAAAACCACCUAGUUGUUCAAACGUUCUGUAACGACU